rnacentral:rRNA from 1 species
UACGUAGGGGGCAAGCGUUGUCCGGAUUUAUUGGGCGUAAAGAGCUCGUAGGCGGCUUGCUAAGUCAGGGGUGAAAUCCCAGGGCUCAACCCUGGAACUGCCUUUGAUACUGACGAUCUGGAGAUCGGGAGAGGUUGGUGGAAUUCCGAGUGUAGAGGUGAAAUUCGUAGAUAUUCGGAGGAACACCAGAAGCGAAGGCGGCCAACUGGCCCGAUACUGACGCUGAGGCGCGAAAGCGUGGGGAGCAAACAGG